rnacentral:rRNA from 1 species
UACGUAGGGUUCAAGCGUUAUCCGGAAUUACUGGGCGUAAAGAGUUGCGUAGGUGGCAAGGUAAGCGACACAUUAAAUCCCACGGCUCAACCGUGGAUUCAUGUAUCGAACUGCCUAGCUUGAGUAUGGGAGAGGUAGAUGGAAUUUCUAGUGUAGGAGUGAAAUCCGUAGAUAUUAGAAGGAACACCGAUGGCGUAGGCAGUCUACUGGCCCAUUACUGACACUAAGGCACGAAAGCGUGGGGAGCGAACGGG